GUUUUGGUCAGCUCCACCCUUGCAAAUACCAGAGCACCUUCCAUGCCGUGCUAUUAUCUGCAAAGCUGGGCUUUGCUCCCAGUGCUUCUCUUUGGUUUACACCAAAGCCCCUCACGCCAGGGAGCGCUGCCAGCAAGGACCUGAAGUCUUUCUAGCCAACAGCACCAAGUUUAAAAGAACAACAACUGCAAGGAACAUUGUUGAACUAUAGAGAUGCUUCUUCCUUGCAGAGCACAGUGCAGCACCCUGGCACUGUAAUCAUUAACAGAUGCAUUCACCUGCCUUCCUUGCUUUGCUUACUCGCUCCAGUGCACUACGACUGCCUGGACUUCCCUAACGGCAAAUCAUGAAACCAAGCCGACAGCAAAAAGCUGGGGCAGCAGCUAAAGCGACUGCCAAAGAGAAAUCUGUUUGCUCAGGCAAAAGCUGUUCUCAGUCCAAACAUGGGAGUCAUAAUCUUACAGCCAUUUGCUUGGAAGACAAUGAAGGGAAGGCGUAGCAGGCUGGGAAACUGCAGCUCGCCACAGCGCAAGAAGAGAACGAUCUUUGUGCCCAGAUUUCCUCGCUCUGCAGGGUACUGACAAGUUCAGUCAUGCUCUGCUGCAAAUGGGAAAGGCGAGGCUGGAUCUUCCUGGAGUGUAUGCGAUUUCAAUUACCCAAUGUGGAUAUCAUCUACCAUGGGAGGAACCAACUUCUAAAGGAUUUUCAACAGGUCUCGCUGAGUUUAUGCACACAGAAAAAAAUUUAAUGGAAAAGGGAAUAAAACAAACUAUUGUUAAGAUUUCAAGUUAAUAAAGGCAUCUCCACAUCAGUCAUGCCAAACUUUACCCA